GACGAACGCUGGCGGCGUGCCUAAUACAUGCAAGUAGAACGCUGAAGGAGGAGCUUGCUUCUCUGGAUGAGUUGCGAACGGGUGAGUAACGCGUAGGUAACCUGCCUGGUAGCGGGGGAUAACUAUUGGAAACGAUAGCUAAUACCGCAUAAUAGUAGAUGUUGCAUGACAUUUGCUUAAAAGGUGCAAUUGCAUCACUACCAGAUGGACCUGCGUUGUAUUAGCUAGUUGGUGGGGUAACGGCUCACCAAGGCGACGAUACAUAGCCGACCUGAGAGGGUGAUCGGCCACACUGGGACUGAGACACGGCCCAGACUCCUACGGGAGGCAGCAGUAGGGAAUCUUCGGCAAUGGACGGAAGUCUGACCGAGCAACGCCGCGUGAGUGAAGAAGGUUUUCGGAUCGGAAAGCUCUGUUGUAAGAGAAGAACGAGUGUGAGAGUGGAAAGUUCACACUGUGACGGUAUCUGACCAGAAAGGGACGGCUAACUACGUG
rnacentral:rRNA from 1 species